rnacentral:rRNA from 1 species
UACGUAGGGUGCAAGCGUUGUCCGGAAUUAUUGGGCGUAAAGAGCUCGUAGGCGGUUUGUUGCGUCGGCUGUGAAAUCCCGAGGCUCAACCUCGGGUCUGCAGUCGAUACGAGCAAACUAGAGUGUUGCAGGGGAGACUGGAAUUCCUGGUGUAGCGGUGAAAUGCGCAGAUAUCAGGGGGAACACCGGUGGCGAAGGCGGGUCUCUGGGCCGAUAUCGACGCUGAGGAGCGAAAGCGUGGGGAGCGAACAGG